UUGUACUGUGAAACUGCGAAUGGCUCAUUAAAUCAGUUAUCGUUUAUUUGAUAGUACCUUACUACAUGGAUACCUGUGGUAAUUCUAGAGCUAAUACAUGCUAAAAACCCCGACUUCAGGAAGGGGUGUAUUUAUUAGAUAAAAAACCAACGCCCUUCGGGGCUCCUUGGUGAAUCAUAAUAACUUAACGAAUCGCAUGGCCUUGCGCCGGCGAUGGUUCAUUCAAAUUUCUGCCCUAUCAACUUUCGAUGGUAGGAUAGUGGCCUACCAUGGUGGCAACGGGUAACGGGGAAUUAGGGUUCGAUUCCGGAGAGGGAGCCUGAGAAACGGCUACCACAUCCAAGGAAGGCAGCAGGCGCGCAAAUUACCCAAUCCCGAUACGGGGAGGUAGUGACAAUAAAUACUGAUACGGGGCUCUUUUGGGUCUCGUAAUUGGAAUGAGAACAAUUUAAAUCCCUUAACGAGGAACAAUUGGAGGGCAAGUCUGGUGCCAGCAGCCGCGGUAAUUCCAGCUCCAAUAGCGUAUAUUAAAAGUUGUUGCAGUUAAAAAGCUCGUAGUUGAACCUUGGGUCUGGCUAGGCCGGUCCGCCUCACCGCGAGUACURGAUCCGGCUGGACCUUUCCUUCUGGGGAACCUCAUGGCCUUCACUGGCUGUGGGGGGAACCAGGACUUUUACUGUGAAAAAAUUAGAGUGUUCAAAGCAGGCCUUUGCUCGAAUACAUUAGCAUGGAAUAAUAGAAUAGGACGUGUGGUUCUAUUUUGUUGGUUUCUAGGACCGCCGUAAUGAUUAAUAGGGAUAG
rnacentral:rRNA from 1 species